UACGGAAGGGGCAAGCGUUUGUUCGGAAUCAUUGGGCGUAAAGGGCGUGUAGGUGGUUCUGUAUGUCUACCGUGAAAGCGUACGGCUCGAACCGUAUUUAGUCGGUAGAAACUGCAGGACUUGAGGCUGGGGAGGGGCUGGUGGGAAUUCCCCGUGUAGCGGUGAAAUGCGUAGAGAGUGGGGGAGAACACUCGUGGCGAAGGCGGCCAGCUAGACAGUUCUGACACUGAGGCGACGGAUAGCGUGGGGAGCAAACAGG
rnacentral:rRNA from 1 species